AUCCGGCCCUGCGCAGAGGCUGCGGACGCCGGUGCUGGAGCCGCUGCAAGACCCGGGUCAGGCACGCAGUGGGUCCCUGCAGUCACCGCUGCUGGGGUCUUUUCCCACCCCUGAUGGAAGCUGAGGCUCUGGGAGGGAGGAGAUUUGAGACACUGAGAAAAAGUCCAUGUGGAGACAGAGGCAGAGACUGGAGCGAUGCAGCCACAAGCCAAGGGACCCUGAGGAUGGCCGGCACCACCGGGAGCCAAGAGAGGCCUGGAGCAGAUCCUCCCGACAGCCCUCAGAAGGCAUCAACCUUGCCAGCAUCUUGACUACAGACUCUGACUUCUGGCACUGUGACAGAAUACAUUUCUGUUGUUGUAA